AGGGGAGUAGCUCAGUUGGUAGAGCACCGGUCUCCAAAACCGGGUGUCGCAGGUUCGAGUCCUGUCUCCCCUGCCA
rnacentral:tRNA from 1 species